rnacentral:rRNA from 1 species
CCUACGGUGGCAGCAGUAGGGAAUAUUUCUCAAUGGGGGAAACCCUUAAGCAGCAACGCCGCGUGGAGGAUGAAGGUUUUCGGAUUGUAAACUCCUUUUGUUAGAGAAGAUAAUGACGGUAUCUAACGAAUAAGCACCGGCUAACUCCGUGCCAGCAGCCGCGGUAAUACGGAGGGUGCAAGCGGUACUCGGAAUCACUGGGCGGAAAGAGCGCGUAGGAGGGAUAGCAAGUCAGCUGUGAAAUCCUAUGGCUUAACCAAAGAAAUGAAUUUGAACCUGUUAUUCUAGAGUAUGGGAGAGGUAGGUGGAAUUCUUGGUGUAGGGGUAAAAUCCGUAGAGAUCAAGAGGAAUACCCAUUGCGAAGGCGACCUGCUAGAACAUAACUGACGCUGAUGCGCGAAAGCGUGGGGAGCAAACAGGAUUAGAUACCCUUGUAGUC